GUCGAGCGGUAACAUUUCUAGCUUGCUAGAAGAUGACGAGCGGCGGACGGGUGAGUAAUGCUUGGGAAUAUGCCUUAUGGUGGGGGACAACAGUUGGAAACGACUGCUAAUACCGCAUAAUGUCUACGGACCAAAGGGGGGGAUCUUCGGACCUCUCGCCAUUUGAUUAGCCCAAGUGAGAUUAGCUAGUUGGUGAGGUAAUGGCUCACCAAGGCGACGAUCUCUAGCUGGUUUGAGAGGAUGAUCAGCCACACUGGGACUGAGACACGGCCCAGACUCCUACGGGAGGCAGCAGUGGGGAAUAUUGCACAAUGGGCGCAAGCCUGAUGCAGCCAUGCCGCGUGUGUGAAGAAGGCCUUCGGGUUGUAAAGCACUUUCAGUAAGGAGGAAAGGGAUGUAGUUAAUAACUGCAUUCUGUGACGUUACUUACAGAAGAAGCACCGGCUAACUUCGUGCCAGCAGCCGCGGUAAUACGAGGGGUGCAAGCGUUAAUCGGAAUUACUGGGCGUAAAGCGUUCGUAGGCGGUUGAUUAAGCAAGAUGUGAAAGCCCAGGGCUCAACCUUGGAACUGCAUUUUGAACUGGUCAACUAGAGUACUGUAGAGGGUGGUGGAAUUUCCAGUG
rnacentral:rRNA from 1 species